UUCCAAGUGUUGACUUCCUUCUUUCCAACUAUAUAUUUGGCUGCUGUUUCUCUAAUUCUUUGUCAUUCAAUAUAUUUUACAUGUAAAAGUUUCAGUAACCUGGAGAGAUUCACAGUAAUCAGGUUUAUAAUUGUCAGGAGUGAACUUCGAGUUUUACCCUGACGGAACGAGGCUGGUGGUGGUGGAUCCCAACCCUCACUUCAAGGCUUACUAUGACAACAACAGGAAGAAGUUCCCCAACAUACACUCUGAGGAAUUUAUAAUCACAACAGGAGUGGUACUUGGUAAUGCACAACGAAUAUCACUUUCAACUGCAAGCCGAUUCCUCAGGACUUAAUGUGCAACAAACAUGAAAAUCCACUCUCACACAUGUCCAAGAACUCCUGCAUAGCCUCUGGAACACCAUGAACAUCUGUUACAAAUGGAUUCCUGAUGAAAGAAAGCUCAUCCCUUGUCAUGUCCACCUCCGGAAAGUAUCGCCGAAAUUCAUCCUGCAGCUUUUGUAAGUGCUCGAGAAUAUGCACUGAAUGGGUUCCUUUUCCCCUAGCAUGGCAUCCACACACGGAAAUUGAACUAAAUUUUUACCUUCGACUCUUCUGAUCCAGAGUUCUAAUUUCUCAAGAAAAGCCUUGGUGAUUCCUUGGUGAGAGAACAGAUUUGCUCCUUUCCCUUGCAGCUGAAGAUUCAGUUUGCUCAAAGAUACCAAAAAUAUCGACAAAGUAUGCUAGUUCUAAUUCUGACAGUUCUAGCAUAUUUAUUUGUAAAACAUUUUUUUCCCUUGAGACUGGAGAAAUACAAUAAUUUUUUCUCUCAGUUCAAAAAUUCUGUUGACUACAUUCCCUGCUAACCACCGUACAGAAGUGUAGAACAGCAACACCUCAAAGUCGGAACCCAUGUCCUGGCAUAAUUUUCUGAACAGUCUGAUGUUCACUGCUGACGAUUUGAUGUA